CGGGGUGUUAGGGCACGACACCGGAGAGGGAGCCUGAGAAACGGCUACCACAUCCAAGGAAGGCAGCAGGCGCGCAAAUUACCCAAUCCCGACACGGGGAGGUAGUGACAAUAAAUAACAAUACAAGGUUCUUUUGGAUCUUGUAAUUGGAANAAGUACAAUUUAAAUCUCUUAACGAGGAACAAUUGGAGGGCAAGUCUGGUGCCAGCAGCCGCGGUAAUUCCAGCUCCAAUAGCGUAUAUUAAAGUUGUUGCAGUUAAAAAGCUCGUAGUUGAACUUCAGACCUGGUUGGGCGGUCCGCUUUACGGCGUGUACUGUCUGGCUGGGCCUUACCUCUUGGUGAGCCGGCGUGCCCUUUAUUGGUGUGCGUCGGGGAACCAGGACUUUUACCUUGAGAAAAUUAGAGUGUUCAAAGCAGGCCUAUGCCCGAAUACAUUAGCAUGGAAUAAUAAAAUAGGACGUGCGGUUCUAUUUUGUUGGUUUCUAGGACCGCCGUAAUGAUUAAUAGGGACAGUCGGGGGCAUCAGUAUUCAAUUGUCAGAGGUGAAAUUCUUGGAUUUAUUGAAGACUAACUACUGCGAAAGCAUUUGCCAAGGAUGUUUUCAUUAAUCAAGAACGAAAGUUAGGGGAUCGAAGACGAUCAGAUACCGUCGUAGUCUUAACCAUAAACUAUGCCGACUAGGGAUCGGGCGGUG
rnacentral:rRNA from 1 species